ACAGAGAAAAGGACCCUUGGGGCUAAGCUGCCUAGCUAAUUCCUACACGUCCACCAAGACCUCAGCUCAAGCAUCGCUUUUUGGGACUGAUUCCUAUAGUCCAUUCCCCCCGGCUAGGCGAGAGGCCCCCUGCCUGCUCCCCAACCCAUCCGCCUCAUGGCCUUGCUCAAUCUUGCGCUGAAACUGUUCAUUCCUUCCUGUUUCUCCCUCUAGCCUGCUCCUCGAGGGCAGGGACUGUCAAACGUUCCUCCCUGAAUCUCCAGCAUCGAGCAAUGGCUGACAUCCAAGCUAACGUCUAUUUAACUCAUUAAUUGAAUUAUUUCAACUACGUAAGUCAGAAAAGGAAAAGGCAGUGAUCAGAGAUUUUUUCCAUUUUAGAAUAAUGUAAACGUUUACAUCAUGUUAAUAUUGACAACAAUUUAUUGUAUACCUACUAUGUGCCAGGUACUUCACAAACAUUAAUCUCAACCCUUACGAGAACCUUUAACUGGUACUAUUCAUUCCAUUUUCCAGAUGAAGAAAGCAAAGUACAGAUGGGUUAAAUAGCACUGGCUCCCACUGCUAACGAGGAAUGGCCCUGAGGUUCCAAUCCUGAUUCUAGAACUCUUGUGAAGACAACUGCCUCUCAUCUAGAAACAGUCCAGCAAUGGUUCCAACACCAAACUGCCCAACAAUAGGAGGGGAGAAAGGCCAUGGUCAUCACCAUGUGUGGCCUAAAUUACAGAAGAAAUUCAGUGGAAAGGAAAUGCCUACGUAAUUCCUUUACUCUGCUUCUACAGGGAAGAAAACGACCUGAAUGUAUCUUACGAAGACACCAACAAGCGCAAGUUACCACAUUGGCAGCUAUUUUCGUUUUUGUUCCCCAAAUCAAAAUGAAACAAUUGGUAACAAGAAAUUCAAAGUGCAGCAAAGAGGAUAACAAGAAGCUUUUUUUCUGAUGCACCUCUGACCUUUCUAAAAGUUAAUUAUUUUCUCUCAUUCAUAUACUUUUUUGUCUUAAGUUUCUCCCAUGAUUUUAUUCAGGAAAAAAUGAAAGACCUUCCUUGAGGGGGGGAGAUAAAGACUAGCCAAAGAGACGACUGACACCUUCACCAGAGACUGGAUUCCAGUCCAAGAAUUGGCACUCGGCAACCACAAAGUACACUCAAAGUCUAACAUGCAGGCCCUGGCGCUGGAGUCAGACCGCCUGGGUGCAAACCCCUCACCUCCGUGGUAGCAGCACAGAAAACACAAACGUCAAAAAGGAGGAAGCAGGCGGAGUGAAGAUCAGUACCUCGUGAAGCGCUCAGCAAAUUAAAAUAUUGCCAUUGAUGGGUUCUGAUGAGGGUUUUGAGAUACCAGAAAUGCAUGCAAACAUUUGUUUGCGAAUAUGAAUAUGAAGAGAGAUACGCCAGAUGCUGAAAAUGCAGAGACAGUGCCUCCUUUGAGGGCAGUGGGGGACACAGGACAGACAGCUAACAGGUAAACAACUGUACACAAUGGGGAAAACAAGGUGAGAGGGAGGCAGGCACAAUGGCCCAGCCCCAGCCUCGGCCAGGGCUCUGGAAAGACUUUCCAGAGCUGGGUCCCAGAGCAGGAACAGAGUCAGGAGGGCACAGAGCAAGGAGAAGGCACUGCAGAGAGGGGACUGCAGAACAAGAGUGAGAGGCUGAAGGGCAGGCUUGGAGGUGAUGAACUAACUCGAAGAAAAGGGAAUCUCAAUAAGCAGAGCCCCAAAACAGAACAGAAAAGACAAAAAACAAGGCCUAAUUAAGUGUCGAUCAACAGGAAGAAAUGAAACCCCAGAGAAGGCAAGCGCCACUGGAUACCCGCGCUGGUGCUGUGUGAGUCUCCUGGCGCAGGCCUGGCGUGGCUGCAUCUGCUGAAAACAAACUGUGGCUCAGGAGUAUAAAUUCAAACUGUAGCAGCAAAAGCUGAAACUCGGUAAAAGCUUACAGACUUUAUGUCACACUUCAUUCCAUUAAAUGGAAAUAUUUUAAAAGUCUAAAACACGUCCAAAAGAAGGCCACUUUAUAAAAUGCACACUGCUCUACUCAGUUCUCUGGUUUUUCUAACAUGAGCAACUUGACAAGUUACCACAUUAUAGAUUUAUAUUAGUAUUUUCUUCCAGAAAAAUAUUGAAUCAGCUACCAUUUUCUGUUAUCUGGUAGUCGCAUUGCAUGGGCUCCCAGAACUGCAAAAGGCCUAUGGAGUUAUUUCUCUACCAAGAGAGCUUCCGUUGCCCAGACGCUACACAAGCAACUAAGCAGACCACAGACCUGAGAGCAGAAAGGUCUGUGCCCUGCUCAUGGAUGAGCCGGGAGACCAUCGUGCUCACAGUAACGACAACGCAGUGACACGCUCGUGCCUCCUGGGUGCCCGGAGCUGUCUCUAAGUGUGGAGACGCCUGUUGAGGAACGCCCCACGGCUGCUGAAGGACCAGUACAAGUUCCCCGGGCGGGGAAGUGAGGGUGGUGAGGAAGAAGGCAUUCCAGGUCUGAUGAAGGUCCAUUGCUCAAAGUCCACACCCUGAGUCUAUAAAGGAGAGGGUCCUGGAAAACCGGCUUCCCAAGCUAGCACUUGGUGGAGUGCUAGCCAGGUGGAGCCUCGGCGCCCUGGCAACGUCCC